rnacentral:rRNA from 1 species
UACGUAGGUGGCAAGCGUUGUCCGGAUUUAUUGGGUUUAAAGGGUGCGUAGGCGACCCUGUAAGUCAGUGCUGAAAUAUCCCAGCUUAACUGGGAGGGUGGCAUUGAUACUGCGGGGCUAGAGUACAGAUGAGGUAGGCGGAAUUGACGGUGUAGCGGUGAAAUGCUUAGAUAUCGUCAAGAACACCUAUAGCGAAGGCAGCUUACUAGGCUGUAACUGACGCUGAGGCACGAAAGUGUGGGGAUCAAACAGG